rnacentral:tRNA from 1 species
GGGGAUAUAGCUCAGUGGUAAAGCACUUGCCCAGUAUGCAUGAGGUCCUUGAUUUGAACCCUGGUACUCCCA